rfam:Candidatus Pacearchaeota archaeon CG1_02_39_14 cg1_0.2_scaffold_177_c, whole genome shotgun sequence.
GCCUCCAUAGCUCAGGGGUAGAGCGAUAGUUUUGUAAACUAUAGGUCGGGGGUUCAAAUCCCUCUGGAGGCU